AACGUACGCUGGCGGCACGCCUAACACAUGCAAGUCGAACGAAGUAGCAAUACUUAGUGGCAGACGGGUGAGUAACAUGUAGGUAUCUGCCCUUUGGCCUGGAAUAACACGAGGAAACUUGUGCUAAUACCGGAUAAGUCUUUACGGAGAAAGCUUUAUGCACCAUUGGAUGAGCCUGCACUUGAUUAGUUUGUUGGUGGGGUAAUGGCCUACCAAGACUGUGAUCAAUAGCUGAUUUGAGAGGAUGAUCAGCCACAUUGGGACUGAGACACGGCCCAAACUCCUACGGGAGGCAGCAGUGGGGAAUCUUGCACAAUGGAGGAAACUCUGAUGCAGCGAUGCCGCGUGAGUGAAGAAGGCCCUUGGGUUGUAAAGCUCUUUCGUCGGGGAAGAAAAUGACUGUACCCGAAUAAGAAGGUCCGGCUAACUUCGUGCCAGCAGCCGCGGUAAUACGAAGGGACCUAGCGUAGUUCGGAAUUACUGGGCUUAAAGAGUUCGUAGGUGGUUGAAAAAGUUAGUGGUGAAAUCCCAGAGCUUAACUCUGGAACUGCCAUUAAAACUUUUCAGCUAGAGUAUGAUAGAGGAAAGCAGAAUUUCUAGUGUAGAGGUGAAAUUCGUAGAUAUUAGAAAGAAUACCAAUUGCGAAGGCAGCUUUCUGGAUCAUUACUGACACUGAGGAACGAAAGCAUGGGUAGCGAAGAGGAUUAGAUACCCUCGUAGUCCAUGCCGUAAACGAUGUGUGUUAGACGUUGGAAAUUUAUUUUCAGUGUCGCAGGGAAACCGAUAAACACACCGCCUGGGGAGUACGACCGCAAGGUUAAAACUCAAAUGAAUUGACGGGGACCCGCACAAGUAGUGGAGCAUGCGGUUUAAUUCGAAGAUACGCGCAGAACCUUACCAACACUUGACAUGUUCGUCGCGACUCUAAGAGAUUAGAGUUUUCGGUUCGGCCGGACGAAACACAGGUGCUGCAUGGCUGUCGUCAGCUCGUGUCGUGAGAUGUUGGGUUAAGUCCCGCAACGAGCGCAACCCUCACUUUUAGUUGCCAUCAUUAAGUUGGGCACUCUGAAAGAACUGCCAGUGAUAAGCUGGAGGAAGGUGGGGAUGACGUCAAGUCCUCAUGGCCCUUACGUGUUGGGCUACACACGUGCUACAAUGGUAUCUACAACAGGGAGCAAGACUGCGAAGUUAAGCAAAUCCCUAAAAGAUACCUCAGUUCGGAUUGCACUCUGCAACUCGAGUGCAUGAAGCUGGAAUUACUAGUAAUCGUGGAUCAGCGUGCCACGGUGAAUGCGUUCCCGGGUCU
rnacentral:rRNA from 1 species